AGCGUACACGGUGGAUGCCCUGGCAGUCAGAGGCGAUGAAGGACGUGCUAAUCUGCGAUAAGCGUCGGUAAGGUGAUAUGAACCGUUAUAACCGGCGAUUUCCGAAUGGGGAAACCCAGUGUGUUUCGACACACUAUCAUUAACUGAAUCCAUAGGUUAAUGAGGCGAACCGGGGGAACUGAAACAUCUAAGUACCCCGAGGAAAAGAAAUCAACCGAGAUUCCCCCAGUAGCGGCGAGCGAACGGGGAGCAGCCCAGAGCCUGAAUCAGUGUGUGUGUUAGUGGAAGCGUCUGGAAAGGCGCGCGAUACAGGGUGACAGCCCCGUACACAAAAAUGCACAUGUUGUGAGCUCGAUGAGUAGGGCGGGACACGUGGUAUCCUGUCUGAAUAUGGGGGGACCAUCCUCCAAGGCUAAAUACUCCUGACUGACCGAUAGUGAACCAGUACCGUGAGGGAAAGGCGAAAAGAACCCCGGCGAGGGGAGUGAAAAAGAACCUGAAACCGUGUACGUACAAGCAGUGGGAGCACGCUUCGGCGUGUGACUGCGUACCUUUUGUAUAAUGGGUCAGCGACUUAUAUUCUGUAGCAAGGUUAACCGAAUAGGGGAGCCGAAGGGAAACCGAGUCUUAACUGGGCGUUAAGUUGCAGGGUAUAGACCCGAAACCCGGUGAUCUAGCCAUGGGCAGGUUGAAGGUUGGGUAACACUAACUGGAGGACCGAACCGACUAAUGUUGAAAAAUUAGCGGAUGACUUGUGGCUGGGGGUGAAAGGCCAAUCAAACCGGGAGAUAGCUGGUUCUCCCCGAAAGCUAUUUAGGUAGCGCCUCGUGAAUUCAUCUCCGGGGGUAGAGCACUGUUUCGGCAAGGGGGUCAUCCCGACUUACCAACCCGAUGCAAACUGCGAAUACCGGAGAAUGUUAUCACGGGAGACACACGGCGGGUGCUAACGUCCGUCGUGAAGAGGGAAACAACCCAGACCGCCAGCUAAGGUCCCAAAGUCAUGGUUAAGUGGGAAACGAUGUGGGAAGGCCCAGACAGCCAGGAUGUUGGCUUAGAAGCAGCCAUCAUUUAAAGAAAGCGUAAUAGCUCACUGGUCGAGUCGGCCUGCGCGGAAGAUGUAACGGGGCUAAACCAUGCACCGAAGCUGCGGCAGCGACGCUUAUGCGUUGUUGGGUAGGGGAGCGUUCUGUAAGCCUGCGAAGGUGUGCUGUGAGGCAUGCUGGAGGUAUCAGAAGUGCGAAUGCUGACAUAAGUAACGAUAAAGCGGGUGAAAAGCCCGCUCGCCGGAAGACCAAGGGUUCCUGUCCAACGUUAAUCGGGGCAGGGUGAGUCGACCCCUAAGGCGAGGCCGAAAGGCGUAGUCGAUGGGAAACAGGUUAAUAUUCCUGUACUUGGUGUUACUGCGAAGGGGGGACGGAGAAGGCUAUGUUGGCCGGGCGACGGUUGUCCCGGUUUAAGCGUGUAGGCUGGUUUUCCAGGCAAAUCCGGAAAAUCAAGGCUGAGGCGUGAUGACGAGGCACUACGGUGCUGAAGCAACAAAUGCCCUGCUUCCAGGAAAAGCCUCUAAGCAUCAGGUAACAUCAAAUCGUACCCCAAACCGACACAGGUGGUCAGGUAGAGAAUACCAAGGCGCUUGAGAGAACUCGGGUGAAGGAACUAGGCAAAAUGGUGCCGUAACUUCGGGAGAAGGCACGCUGAUAUGUAGGUGAGGUCCCUCGCGGAUGGAGCUGAAAUCAGUCGAAGAUACCAGCUGGCUGCAACUGUUUAUUAAAAACACAGCACUGUGCAAACACGAAAGUGGACGUAUACGGUGUGACGCCUGCCCGGUGCCGGAAGGUUAAUUGAUGGGGUCAGCGCAAGCGAAGCUCUUGAUCGAAGCCCCGGUAAACGGCGGCCGUAACUAUAACGGUCCUAAGGUAGCGAAAUUCCUUGUCGGGUAAGUUCCGACCUGCACGAAUGGCGUAAUGAUGGCCAGGCUGUCUCCACCCGAGACUCAGUGAAAUUGAACUCGCUGUGAAGAUGCAGUGUACCCGCGGCAAGACGGAAAGACCCCGUGAACCUUUACUAUAGCUUGACACUGAACAUUGAGCCUUGAUGUGUAGGAUAGGUGGGAGGCUUAGAAGUGUGGACGCCAGUCUGCAUGGAGCCGACCUUGAAAUACCACCCUUUAAUGUUUGAUGUUCUAACGUUGACCCGUGAUCCGGGUUGCGGACAGUGUCUGGUGGGUAGUUUGACUGGGGCGGUCUCCUCCUAAAGAGUAACGGAGGAGCACGAAGGUUGGCUAAUCCUGGUCGGACAUCAGGAGGUUAGUGCAAUGGCAUAAGCCAGCUUGACUGCGAGCGUGACGGCGCGAGCAGGUGCGAAAGCAGGUCAUAGUGAUCCGGUGGUUCUGAAUGGAAGGGCCAUCGCUCAACGGAUAAAAGGUACUCCGGGGAUAACAGGCUGAUACCGCCCAAGAGUUCAUAUCGACGGCGGUGUUUGGCACCUCGAUGUCGGCUCAUCACAUCCUGGGGCUGAAGUAGGUCCCAAGGGUAUGGCUGUUCGCCAUUUAAAGUGGUACGCGAGCUGGGUUUAGAACGUCGUGAGACAGUUCGGUCCCUAUCUGCCGUGGGCGCUGGAGAACUGAGGGGGGCUGCUCCUAGUACGAGAGGACCGGAGUGGACGCAUCACUGGUGUUCGGGUUGUCAUGCCAAUGGCACUGCCCGGUAGCUAAAUGCGGAAGAGAUAAGUGCUGAAAGCAUCUAAGCACGAAACUUGCCCCGAGAUGAGUUCUCCCUGACUCCUUGA
rnacentral:rRNA from 1 species